rnacentral:rRNA from 1 species
CCUACGGGAGGCAGCAGUGAGGAAUAUUGGUCAAUGGGCGCUAGCCUGAACCAGCCAAGUAGCGUGAAGGAUGACUGCCCUAUGGGUUGUAAACUUCUUCUAUAUGGGAAUAAAGUGCAGUAUGUAUACUGCUUUGCAUGUACCUUAUGAAUAAGGAUCGGCGAACUCCGUGCCAGCAGCCGCGGUAAUACGGAGGAUCCGAGCGUUAUCCGGAUUUAUUGGGUUUAAAGGGAGCGUAGGCGGGGUGUUAAGUCAGUUGUGAAAGUUUGCGGCUCAACCGUAAAAUUGCAGUUGAUACUGGCAGCCUUGAGUACAGUAGAGGUAGGCGGAAUUCGUGGUGUAGCGGUGAAAUGCUUAGAUAUCACGAAGAACUCCGAUGGCGAAGGCAGCCUGCUGGACUGUAACUGACGCUGAUGCUCGAAAGUGUGGGUAUCAAACAGGAUUAGAUACCCUGGUAGUC